CAAAAAUAACAAGUGGUAGAUAAGUGAGUGAGUAAAUCCACAGAAGAAGGUGAAUGGUACUCUACAAUACUUAUGAAAGUAGGUUUGGAGAUAUCUAUUCCUGCAUGACUGGAAGAUCACUGACUGCAUUAAUCAAAAAAGAAGAUGAAUUCUGCUCUUGCAAUUCUCACAAUAAUCAGCAGCGUGACUUUGUACCAAUAACCAAGAUAUUCUUCUAUCUUUUAGUGCAGUAUGCAUGGUGAAUUCUAGAUGUUCAAAAAAAGGAAUGGUUGAUAUGUGACCAAGAAAACCAACUGGAGAAUUUUUUUUGUAUUUUACAAUACUCAUGAAAGAUCAGUGAUCACAAGGAAGAGGCAUGGUGAAUUCUACAAUUGCAAAAACCAUGAAUGGUGGAUAAGUGUCUGAAUAAAUCAGCAGGGGAAGGUGAGGAGUACUCUUCAAUAUGCAUGAAAGAUCAAAGUUUGCACCAUUGUUUGUUGAGUGACUUUGGGCCAAGAACCAAAAGAUUGUUACUUCUAUUGCUGCAAUAGGUAUGGUGAUUUCUAUUCCUGCAUAGCUGGUAGAUCAGUUAUUGUAAUAAUCAACAAAAGAAAGUGUGUCCUCCUCUUGCAAUAAAUACGAUAAUCAGCAGAGUUACUUUGGACCAAUAAUGAGAAAAGAGUGACUUCUGUACCUGCAAAAAUCAUUACUGGUGGAUAAGUGACUUAGUAAAGUAACAGGAGAAAGUGAGUAGCAAUC